GUGCCAGCAGCCGCGGUAAUACGUACUGGGCGAACGUUAUUCGGAAUCACUGGGCUUAAAGGGUGCGUAGGCGGCUUUCCAGGUCCGGUGUGAAAUCUUACGGCUCAACCGUAAAAUUGCGCUGGAAACCGGAAGGCUUGAGUGGGCUAGGGGUGUGUGGAACUUCCAGUGGAGCGGUGAAAUGUGUUGAUAUUGGAAGGAACGCCGGUGGCGAAAGCGACACACUGGGGCCUAACUGACGCUGAGGCACGAAAGCUAGGGUAGCGAACGGGAUUAGAAACCCUCGUAGUCC
rnacentral:rRNA from 1 species